AUGCCUAAGAACCAGGAGAGAAACAGAGAUAGAAACAGAGAUUUUCUACCUCUGUUUCAACUGGUCACUUGCACCUUCUGCCGUCUGCCAUGGGAUUAUGCAGCAACAAGGCCCUCAUCAGAUGCUGACACCAUGCUCUUGGACUUCGCAGUCUCCAGAACUGUGAGAAAGAGUUUCAAAAAGUCAUAGCAAUGAAAGACAAGGUACAGUAGGUCCUGCAGCAUGCUAUAAGGACUUUGGCAUGUACUGAAUAAUGGGAGAACCCAGAGGGCAUUGAGCAGAGGGACAUCUACUGAGUUAAGAAGAGUCUGUGUAGAUGAACUUGGUGGUCUUUGAAACAAUUCCCAUAAGAUAUAAUGGUGUCGGUGGAGGUGAAUACUCAAUAUUUCCCCACAGUAGGACUAUUCAGUUUAUAAGUUUUCACCAUAAAAGCUCUUCCAAAGGGAUCUCAUUUUUUACAUGGCUCCCUUUCUUAGGCAUAUAACAACUCUUACUUAAAAAACAAACUAAAACAUAUUGUAAAUAGUUACACUUUUAGGCAAAUAUGUGUUCCACAGUUUACUCAGCCUAAUAGCUAAUAGCUUCUAAUCAGACAAUAUCAUAUGAAAAAAAUUAGGAUUGCACUGCAGGGGCCAAAAAUGUUUUGUGAGUGAAAUAAAGAGGUUGGUAUCUUUUUGGCUUCUUAGUCUCUUGUGUGUACACUUUAUGUGCAAGUGUUUCUAAGAAACUUCAAAUGUAUCCUUAAUUUGCUCUGAAAUGUUCCCUCGUUCUAAGUUUUAAAUUAAAACAAAUGGAUACUUUGGAGACUGAGGAAGGGGAAUUGCUUGAUCCAGGGAGGUGACGGUUGCAGUGAGCUGGGAUCACACCACUGCACUCCAGCCUGGGUGACAGAGCAGGACUCUAUCUCAAAAAAAAAGAAAAAAAAAAAAAAAAAGAAAAAAGGAAUGGAGAUGAAGGUCUCACUGGGUUGUUGAGGCUGGUCUCAAACUCCUGGGUUCAAGUGAUCCUUUUAGCUUGGCCUCCCAAAGUGCUGAGAUCACAGGUAUGAGCCACCAUGCCUGGCCUAUCAUUUUAUUUUCAAGAGCAGUUUAAGUUUAAGAGCACCAAAAUGUUGAAACAUUAAAGUACAUACAGAAAAUAAUGGUAAAGAGGAACAAACUUUCUAAAGAAUGACACCCUCACACCCUCACAUGCUGCCACCACACUGUCAAGAUUUUUCUUCCUUUUUUGGGGAGUUCGAUAAGCUAUGAGCAUGUCUUGGUUGUGUUAACAGUUUGUAUUAGCAGAUUGUGGCUAAUAUGGUUUGGUUCCAUGUCCCCCCCACCCAAAUCUCAUCUCAAAUUGUAACCCACACAUGUCAACAGAGAGACCUGGUGGGAGAUUGAGUCAUGGGGGUGGUUGCCCACAUGGUGUUCUUGUGAUAGUGAGGAAGUUCUCAUGAGAUCUGAUGGUUUAAAAGUGGCAAUUUCUCCCGUGCUCUCCCUAUCUUUCCUGCCACCUUGUGAAGAAUGUGAUUUACUUCCCUUUCACCUUCUGCUAUGAUUGUAAGUUACCUGAAGCCUCCUCAGCCAUGUAGAACUGUGAGUCAAUUAAACCUCUAUCCUUUAUAAAUUACCCAGUCUCAGCAAAGUUCUUUAUAGUGGUGGGAAAACAGACUAAUACAGUAAAUGGGUACUGAGAGUGGGGUGUUAUAAUGAUAACCUGAAAAUGUGGAAGUGACUUUGGAACUGGGUAAUGGGCAGAGGUUGGAACAGUUUGGAGAGCUCAGAAGACAGGAAGAUGUGGGAGUUUGGAACUUCCUGAAGACUUGCUGAACAAUUUGAACCAAAAUGCUGAUUGUGAUAUGGACAAUGAAGUCCAGGAUGAGGUGGUCUCAGACAGAGGUGAGGAACUUAUUGGGAACUGGAAUAAAGGUCACUCAUGCUAUGCUCUAGCAAAGAGCCUGGUGGCAUUUUACCCCUGUCCUAGAUAUCUGUGAAACAUUGAACUGGAGAAAAAUGAUUUAGAGUAUCUGCUGGAAGAAAUUUCCAAGCAGCAAAGCAUUCAAGAGCUGACCUGACUGAUUCUGAAUGUGUUCAGUAAUAUGCAUUCACAAAGACAUUAUCUGAAACUAGAGCUUUAAUUUAAAAAGAAAUUAGAGCAUAAAAAUUUGGAAAAUUUGCAGCCUGACCAUAAAGUAGAAAAGAAGUACCCGUUUUCUGGGGAAUAAUUUAAGCCUGCUGGAGAAAUUUGCAUAAGUAAUGAGGAUCUGAAUGUUAAUUCAAAACAAUGGUAAAACUGUCUCCUGGGCAUUUUAGAGAUCUUUUGGCAGCCCUUUUCAUCACAGGCCCAGAGGCCUAGGAGGAUAAAAUGGUUCCCUGGGCCAGGCCCAGGGCCCUGCUGCUCUGUGUAGCCUCAGGACUUGAUACCCUGCUUCC
rnacentral:lncRNA from 1 species